rnacentral:rRNA from 1 species
UACAGAGGUCCCAAGCGUUGUUCGGAUUUACUGGGCGUAAAGGGUGCGUAGGCGGUGGGGUAAGUUUGAGGUGAAAGCUCCGGGCUCAACCCGGAAAAUGCCUUGGAAACUAUCCGGCUAGAGGGUUGGAGGGGAGACUGGAAUUCUCGGUGUAGCAGUGAAAUGCGUAGAUCUCGAGAGGAACACCAGUGGCGAAGGCGGGUCUCUGGACAACACCUGACGCUGAGGCACGAAGGCCAGGGGAGCAAACGGG